rnacentral:rRNA from 1 species
UGAACGCUGGCGGAAUGCUUUACACAUGCAAGUCGAACGGCAGCACGGAGAGCUUGCUCUCUGGUGGCGAGUGGCGAACGGGUGAGUAAUAUAUCGGAACGUAUCCAAUAAUGGGGGAUAACGAGUCGAAAGAUUCGCUAAUACCGCAUACGCCCUACGGGGGAAAGCAGGGGAUCGUAAGACCUUGCGUUAAUGGAGCGGCCGAUAUCUGAUUAGCUUGUUGGUGAGGUAAAGGCUCACCAAGGCGACGAUCAGUAGCUGGUUUGAGAGAACGACCAGCCACACUGGAACUGAGACACGGUCCAGACUCCUACGGGAGGCAGCAGUGGGGAAUUUUGGACAAUGGGGGCAACCCUGAUCCAGCCAUUCCGCGUGAGUGAAGAAGGCCUUCGGGUUGUAAAGCUCUUUCGCAAGGGAAGAAAACUUAUGAUCGAAUAAAUCAUGAGGUUGACGGUACCUUGAUAAGAAGCACCGGCUAACUACGUGCCAGCAGCCGCGGUAAUACGUAGGGUGCGAGCGUUAAUCGGAAUUACUGGGCGUAAAGCGUGCGCAGGCGGUUUUGUAAGUCGGAUGUGAAAUCCCCGGGCUCAACCUGGGAACUGCGUUCGAAACUGCAAGGCUAGAGUGUGUCAGAGGGGGGUAGAAUUCCACGUGUAGCAGUGAAAUGCGUAGAGAUGUGGAGGAAUACCAAUGGCGAAGGCAGCCCCCUGGGAUAACACUGACGCUCAUGCACGAAAGCGUGGGGAGCAAACAGGAUUAGAUACCCUGGUAGUCCACGCCCUAAACGAUGUCAACUAGUUGUUGGUAGAGUAAAAUCUAUGAGUAACGUAGCUAACGCGUGAAG